UGUAGUGGUAUGCAUAUAUACAUGCAUAUGAUUGUAUGUGCGUGCGUGUGUGUGUGUUUGUUGGCGCGAUUGCGCGUCGUACCCCAUCGAAGCAAACUUCACGCGUGUGUAUAAGGAAAGAUAGUAGUGUAAGCGAAAAAGACGAGAUUACGGAUAGGAGAGGAGAGUGGCGAGGAUGGAAAAAGGGUAGAGAGCAUGAUAUAAGCAUGCCGCGGUCAAUCCGCGUAGUGGGGCGAAGCGGGUAACCAGGCCUUGAAGAAGGAAAAGAGAACAAAAGCGCACGCUCUGCGACUAUGCGCUACGUAGCGCGCGCUUUUGUAAGAGAAAGAGAGAGUAGGGGAACCAUCUUUCCGCGAGAAACUCUUUUCGACUAACGUAGAGUCGUUCAAGAGAGGAGAAAAGUGAAAGAAAAGAAAAAAAUAAAAA
rnacentral:lncRNA from 1 species